GGACUACUAGGGUAUCUAAUCCUGUUUGCUCCCCUAGCUUUCGUGCCUCAGUGUCAGGUAUCGUCCAGGGACUCGCCUUCGCCACUGGUGUUCCACUUGAUAUCUACGCAUUUCACUGCUACACCAAGUAUUCCAGUCCCCCCUCCGAUCCUCUAGCAGGGCAGUUUCCAAUGCCAUUUCCAAGUUGAGCUUGGAGAUUUCACAUCCGACUUACCCCACCACCUACGCACCCUUUACGCCCAGUGAAUCCGAACAACGCUCGGGACCUCUGUAUUACCGCGGCUGCUGACAC
rnacentral:misc_RNA from 1 species